GACGUAGGUGGCGAGCGUUGUUCGGAAUCACUGGGCAUAAAGCGCACGUAGGCGGCCAAGUCAGUCAAGUGUGAAAUACCUCGGCUCAACCGAGGAACUGCGCCUGAUACUGCUUGGCUUGAGGUCCGGAGGGGAGAGUGGAAUUCCCGGUGGAGCGGUGAAAUGCGUAGAGAUCGGGAAGAACGCCGGCGGCGAAAGCGACUCUCUGGUCGGAAUCUGACGCUGAGGUGCGAAAGCUAGGGGAGCAAACGGG
rnacentral:rRNA from 1 species